GGCGGAGUGGCUGAAAUAUUUAGGUAGUAAAUUGUAAAUUUAUUUAUGGUUGUGAAACCCUUUGUCA
rnacentral:tRNA from 1 species